AUUAUACUCCCUCCGUCCAGAAAUACUUGUCAUUGAAAUGGAUAUAGAUGUAUUUUAGUUCUAGGUACAUCCAUUUUCAUCCAUUUUGAUGACAAGUGAUUUCGGACAGAGGGAGUACAAG
rfam:Triticum aestivum genome assembly, contig: Triticum_aestivum_CS42_TGACv1_scaffold_225994_3B